ensembl:lincRNA
ACCAUAGACUGGGUGGCUGAUAAAUAACAGAAAUUUAUUUCUUACAGUUCUGGGGGCUGAAAAUCUGAGAUAAGGGUGACAGCAAGAUCAGAUUCUGGUGAAGGCCCUCUUCCAGGUUGCAGACUACAAUCUUCUUGUUGUAUCCUCACAUUGCAGAAGAGCCAAAGCAGCUCUCUGGGGUCUCUUUGAUAAGGGCACUAAUCCCAUUCAUAAAGAAUCCCCUCCUUGACCUAAUCACCUCCCAAGGGCCCCACCUCCCAUUACCUUCACAUUGGUGGUUAGGAUUCCAACACACGAAUUUGGGAGGUACACAUUCAGUCCAUAGCACACACCUCUAAGCAGUGCUGAUCACACUCUGAUUAUGUGAACAGAGCACCCUGGAGCUGGAAGUGCACAGUCUGAGGAAUCGUGAGUGGCAGCCCUGCCUCCAAGCCCUCUUCAAAUUCUUAGACUCUUGCUCUUUACUUCACACAGCUCCUGACCUCAUUAGUGUGGUUUCCUAUUUCUGGCAUCGCCCUUGCCCUUUGAAUCUGACAACAGACUCAAGAUGCCUUGUUUCGACUCUGUCAGCGCUUACUUACCAGUACAUAGCUUAGAUAUUCCCCAGGACCAAGGUCACAAAGGAUGAAUUCUUAGCCAUGCAAGGUAUGUAACCAUAGUGAGGAGAGGCAGAGGAAGACUACUGUUCACAGGCCCAGUGACAUACUCCACCAAACACCCCAAACCAGGAAGAGGAAUCAGGAUAAGACUGGGACUCUCAUGAGCAGAGUUACUUCUUUUUCCGGUUACUGUGAUUCUACCAGGCCACUAAGAUGGCCUGAACUAAAGAAGCACCUGUAACAGCGGUUAUAAGGAUGAUGGGAAUUUGACCACAAAGCAAGCUAUUGAAAUAUGAAAAAUUCAAGCAAACCAAAGUGGAGGGAGGAAGGUUAGGGUGUUUGGGGAUGUUGGUACAGAAGAAGAACAGUUAUGCCUGCCUCAAAUUUACCAGACAGAGCAGAUUUCUACUGGAAUUCCCAAACUCCUCAUCAGUUCUCUGUUACUUUUAUCCAUGACUAUUUUCAUGAAAACAGAAAAGCUUAUUUUGAUGUAAUUAAAUCCAUCAAUUUUAGCCUCAGAUUUGGCAUCCUUUCACCAGGCUGUAAGCAGAAAACCCUUGAUUUCCUCAAUUUUCUGAGGCAUGGCAAUAAGGAGGAACGUACUGAAUAUCAAGAAUACUUCAGAGGAUCUUGGAGCAGAGAUGGUACUUCCACAUAACACAGUGCACCUUGAUGAUAUUAGCAUCCACUGCCAAUAAGCAUAAAGAUCUUCAAGGUAAUUUGCCAACCAUAUUAGACAGAGGAGCAGGG